GGACAGGUGUCCGAGUGGUUUAAGGAUCUAGUCUUGAAAACUAGCGUGCGGGUAACCGUACCGUGAGUUCGAAUCUCACCCUGUCCGCCA
rnacentral:tRNA from 2 species